GUUUUUGGUUCUGGAGUGAUGGUACGCCUUUCACCUUUUCAUACUGGUGCAAAGGAGAGCCAAAUAACCUUAGGGGCCAGCACUGUUUACAAAUAAAUCAUGGAGAUAACAAAUGCUGGGAUGAUGUACAGUGUCACACUCGCCUUCCAUCCGUCUGUAUAAAGAAAACCAACUGAUUCCUGGGCUGACACAGAGGCAUGAAGCACCUGAAAAAAUCACAAACAUGGGUGGAUGUUUUCUCUCUCUUUAUGCCAUCAGUCUAAUAUGUACCCUGAAGGCUCUAUAUCACAUUUCAUGUCUUUAUUUUCAUUUUCAAGAUCUAAAUCGUCUCUGAGGUCUUGUGCCUUUAAUAAGCACAAACUUAUUCUGCAGAGUGAACUGUGCUUUCUUGUUUCAUGCAAAUUAAAAGUCUCAAGCAUU